AUGUGUAGGAUAGUGCUACUGUUAUUCCUCGUGUACAAAUUUUCAAGAGGAAUGGAACAACCUCAGGCUCCGCAAGGGCCGGAGCAGCAGUUCAAUCAGCUUCUCCAGAAUCAAGGAUUGGGCUACCUUGUGGCCGCAAACGCGAAUCCUGAUCAACUAGAUGCGAGAGACUGCAUCAAAGAGUGUCAUAAGUCGUUCGGAUUCGUACUUGGGCGUCAAAGAAACGCUUGGAUUCCCGUUGCAACAGGAAUCGUGAUCGGAGAUCCGUUUUUUGCGAACGAAUGCGUAUGCGAGCUGACCGCCAAUUUCAAGAGCCUCCUGGGAAAGUCCAAAAGAAUUUAUUUUACUUAUCUUUUCAAUACCUCUGCGUGGACCUUCAAAAGAGUUGUGAAGCUGAGUUUCGAAUGGAGACCGUUCGAAGAUGGGCUUUUGUUCUGUCUCACGCGCUCAGCACCCCGUCGCGGCCAGCCGCAAAUUGGUGGUUGACAGCGAAAACUAGCCUCAUCUCGUUUUUUAUUCUGGAAUUUCUAUCCAAGUAUUGCGUUUAAAACUAUGCACUUACAUAUCUCAAAGCCUAAAUUAAGAGGAAGAAAAAAAGAACUAAACGUUUUUUUACCAUCAUCAAUUGGACGUAUUUCUAUCAAACGGACCUAAGCGCCAUCGGAGGAGGAAGGUAGCGGGGGGCUUGGAUUGGCGGCGGAAUCGGGCGCCCGGCUUAUUCCGCCCUAUACUCGCAAUCCUUUUCCAUGGCGCUUAGGUCCGUUUGACAGAACGCGCUAUCAAUGAUUCUAUAUUCCUCAAAAGGAACUCAAAUUGGCGCUUGGUUCCGUUUGAUAGAAAUACGUCCAAUUAAGGAGAAUCCUUGUUGCAUGGGAGGCAACGUUUACAAUAGAUCGUAUUUGGUAGUGGUUCGCUGUAUCGAUUGGUUCAAAACAAUCGAACAUAGUCUCAAACAAAAAUUUUAGGAUUUAAGUUGGAAAAGCUGGAAAGGAGAAUAUUCAUAGUAUAAUUUUACUCUUCAUAGCCAUUUUGUACUUCUAGGUAUCAAAAAUCUAUCAUAAAAAAACCGCUCCCUCAGAUUACUCAAUUGGCUUCUAGGGCUAUGUUUACAUGUUGAACCAAUCGAUAUCGAUACAAUCUCACCUCUUUGCUGUAUCGAUUAUGAUCCAUGGCCAGUUAAGACCUCCCAGACAUAAAUUAUCUAUAGGAGCAUUUUUUGCGAUUAGGAGAAAAUCGAGAUCAGGGAUAAACUGUUGUAUAUUUGUUCAAGAUAUGAUAUUUUAUUUCUUGAAAAAUAAAAAAGCUUUACUUAAACAACUUGUAGCUGAUACACUUUUAGUAUAACUUGAUGUGAUCUAUGAAAAAGGAGUUGGAUUCGUUUCAGAAGAAAUUCGUGAAGUUUAAUUUAUUCGGAGGUCAUCAGAAGUAGAGUAUGAAAUAAAUUCCUCCAACUACGUGUUACUAAUGAAUAGCAUCAAAAAACCUCUCCUAUGUAAAAAGGUCAAUGCGUCAAUAGUUGAAACGAAUAAUUAUCACUAAAGAACGUAUGGGCAUAUGUCUAGAGUCUAUUGCGUCAAAAGUUUAAACGAGUACCGCUAAAAAUAGUGAAUGGUAUAGAGAGUGUAUAGAGUCGGCUGCGAUGAAUAAGAGAGGAAAAUUUGCAUUAGGUAUCCCGAAAGUACCGCACGCUUCCCUUUUUUGAGUGAACGGUAAAAUCUAAUUACAUGCGGUUGGCCCAUGCAGGGCUCUUGAUUGAAUCCUCGGGUUUAAAUGGGGUUUUACGUUCCCCGCUUCCACAACCUAAAUUAAAAAACGAGCUAGAAAAACGCCAAAAUUCCGCUUUACACGAUAUUUUCAUAAUAUCAUAAAUUUUAUCAAAGAUUAUCAAAGAUAAUCAAAGAUUUUCAAGUUUGGGACCUGCAUAUAAGAACUUAUUGCAAACCUACUAGGAUUCAAUCCAGAGCCCCGUGAAAACCCAAUAAGUCAAUAGAUUUUACUGUUUGCUGAAUAACAGGAAGCAUGCAGUCAGCAGUACUUUCGGGACACCCUCUGUAGUCUGUAUAAUUUCAAGGGCAACGCAUAGUUUGAAAAACUGGUGAAAUUUUCAGAUGUACCUAGAGACAAUACUUAUCACAGCAACGGAAGCAUCAGAGGAAUCGCACGCAAGCAAAACAAGCGGGAAAGUUCUAAUACUGUCGUAUUAGAAAAGCGCUCAGGUGUUAGUCUAUGUAUUUAGUGAAGAAUACAAAUUUUAUAUAGUUACACAUUUCUUUAUUUGCCCUUCUGAAUUUACAUUGUUAAUAAUUGAUUAAUAAUAUUGUUAAUAUACAUAGUUCCUAUUCUUUUGUUUUAUUCCAUACCACUUGUUUUUUUUAAUCCUCGUAUAAAAACCACCCAUUUGCUAAAAACAAUUCUAGCUGGAGCGCAUUUCAGCUAUGCAUUAACCACUGCAAAAAUGUCAAAGGAAAUCGACAAGCCUAGCGUGCAUGGGUGCAUGACGGUUAUUUUAAUUGUAAUCUUCCGCUGCAUUUCUAAGGCGCAAUGAUACAACUAUUUGAACUCUCCGGAAUGCGUGAGGUAUUACACCUCAUUUGAAGGCGUUUUCAAAACAGCCAAGUUCCGAUUCCCGGAUUAUCGUUUUGCAUAGUUCCUAUUCUUUUGUUUUAUUCCUUACCACUUGUUUAUUUUUAAUCCUCGUAUAAAAACCACCCAUUUGCUAAAUACAAUUCUAGCUGGAGCGCCUUUCAGCUAUGCAUUAACCACUGCAAAAAUGUCAAAGGAAAUCGACAAGCCCAGCGUCAAUGAU
rnacentral:lncRNA from 1 species